AGCAGCAUGGCGCAGUUGGAAGCGCGCGGGGCCCAUAUGUACCGUCUGGCAUUCGGUACCCCGAGGUCACUCGAUCGAAACGAGUUGCUGCUA